GGCUUGGUAGCGCGCGGUGCGCAUCUGCAUCGAAUUCAGGAAGCAGCAGUUUCUGCAGACUCUGCCUGUUCGACUCAGGCCCGAGCCA